CACAUGACUCUCGGCAACGGAUAUCUCGGCUCUCGCAUCGAUGAAGAACGUAGCAAAAUGCGAUACCUGGUGUGAAUUGCAGAAUCCCGUGAACCAUUGAGUUUUUGAACGCAAGUUGCGCCCGAGGCCUUCUGGCCGAGGGCACGUCUGCCUGGGCGUCACGC
rnacentral:rRNA from 1 species